rnacentral:sRNA from 1 species
GCUGGGCAUGGUGGCUCACGCCUGUAAUCCCAGCACUUUGGGAGGCUGAGGCAGGUGGAUCGCUUGAGCCCAGGAGUUCAAGACCAGCCUGAGAAACAUGGCAAAACACCUUCCCUGCUAAAAAUAAAAAUAAAAGAAUUAGCUGGGUGUGGUGGCACACACCUGUAGUCUCAGCUGCUCAGGAGGCUGAGGCAGGAAAAAUUGCUUGAACCUGGGAGGUGGAGGCUGCAGUGAGCUGAGAUCGUGUCACUGUGCUCCAGCCUGGGCAACAGAGUGAGACUCUGUCUCA